ACCCCUCUACUUUCCUUUUAUGUAGCCCUGUUGCAAAAGAGAUAAGAAGCGUGACAUAUGAUGGUAAUUGCCCAUUUCUAGGGGCUCACCCACAUCUACUGAUAAUUCGAGGUUCACCUGACUUAGCCUUGCUCUAAUUGCAUCUUGAAGCAGCCUCACAGUCCUGGCAAUAUGCAGCUGAUUAUGUUACAAAUUCAGUUUUAAAGGGGUUUAAUUACACGGGAAGUAACUAGUGAAGGUGACAAAGAAAUGAUUUUAAUAUGUAUAGCCAGUGGGUUUUGGGUUGGCCUAGUGUUGUGAAUUUAUUUUCAGGGCCAUUAAAUACAUGGCAAGUUUAUUCUAACCCAUGGGAUGCUACAGAAGACAACUUCCUCAAAAGAAGACUAACGUGACUUUAAGGAUUAAUCUUGGCAUUCUUAUGAUGCAUUUUGCUUUUUAAUCCCCUUAAUUUUAAACACACCAAAAUACCACUCAUUUGGGCUGUAUUAAUAUGAAAGCCCAAUUCCUGGUGGUCAGCAUGCUAUGGAUUGGCUUAACAAAUUCCUAUAAACAAAUUUAAUGAAUACAUUGAAAUAAAUUUCCUAUAGCUGUAGAAAAAAAUAUGUUAAGCCAAUCCAUAGCACACCCACAGCAGUUCUUCAAGGAUUGUUUAAAAGAAUAAACUGGGCACUUAAGCGGGCUGUGCCAUGUGACCUCGGGCACUGCCAACAGUGGGUGAGCUCUGGGUGUGCGGGCGGCCUGGUGCGGUGCUCUGCUGUGUCAACGUGUUAUGAUGCUGUCCCAAACCAACCUGGCUACUGGAAUCCCCAGGAGUAAAGUGAAAUAUUCAAGGCUCUCCAGCACAGAGGAUGGCUACAUUGACCUUCAGUCUAAGAAAACUCCUCCUAAGAUCCCUUAUAAGGCCAUCGCACUUGCCACUGUGCUGUUUUUGAUUGGCGCCUUUCUCAUUAUUAUAGGCUCCCUCCAGCUGUCAGGCCACAUCAGCAAAGAGGGGGCAGACCAGCCGUUCCAGUCCUGAUCCUUGGCAUUCUGGUGUUCCUACCCGGAUUUUACCACCUGCACAUCACUUACUACGCAUCCAAAGGCUACCGUGGUUACUCCUAUGAUGACAUUCCAGACUUUGAUGACUAGCACCCACCUAAUAGCUGAGGAGAACAGUCACAGUGGAACUGUCCCAGCUUUAAGAUACCUAGCAGAAACUAUAGCUAAGGAUUAAGGAAUUCUGCAGCUUGCAGAUGUUUAAGAAAAUAAUGGCCAGAUUUUACGGGUCCUUCCCAAAGAUGUUAACUGAACCUGCAGUAGCUAAUUAGGACAUGCUCUGUUUUUCAUCCCUUGGCCCUGGCAAGAGCUCCUGACAAGUUUUUCCACAGGAAUAUGUAUCAUGGAAGAAUAGAGGUUAUUCUGUAAUGGAAAAGUGUUGCCUGCCAUCACCCUCUGUAGAGCUGAGCAUUUCUUUUAAAUAGUCUUCAUUGCCAAUUUGUUCUUGUAGCAAAUGGAAGAAUGUAGUAUGGCUAAUUUCUUAUUACUAAGUAAUUUAUUUAAAAAAUAUCUGAGUAUAUUAUCCUCUACACUUAUCCCUACCUUCAUGUUCCAGUGGAAGGCUUUAGUAAAAUCAAAGAUCAGUGA